rnacentral:rRNA from 1 species
UACGAAGGGGGCUAGCGUUGUUCGAAAUUACUGGGCGUAAAGCGCACGUAGGCGGAUCUUUAAGUCAGGGGUGAAAUCCCGAGGCUCAACCUCGGAACUGCCUUUGAUACUGGGGAUAUCGAGUCCGGGAGAGGUGAGUGGAACUGCGAGUGUAGAGGUGAAAUUCGUAGAUAUUCGGAGGAACACCAGUGGCGAAGGCGGCUCACUGGUCCGGUACUGACGCUGAGGUGCGAAAGCGUGGGGAGCAAACAGG